rnacentral:snRNA from 1 species
CCAUGUGGGCGGCCAACUCCUUCUCCGGGGUCUACUUCCCCGGCCUCAGCCUCUUCCAGGACAUCAAGGGGGCCGGCAAGGGCAAGGGCAAGGUCAAGGUCGGCAAG